rnacentral:rRNA from 1 species
UACAGAGGUCUCGAGCGUUGUUCGGAUUCAUUGGGCGUAAAGGGUGCGUAGGUGGCGCUGUAAGUCGGGUGUGAAAUCCUGAGGCUUAACCUCGGAACUGCAUUCGAUACUGCGGGGCUUGAGGACUGGAGAGGAGACUGGAAUUCAUGGUGUAGCAGUGAAAUGCGUAGAGAUCAUGAGGAAGACCAGUGGCGAAGGCGGGUCUCUGGACAGUUCCUGACACUGAGGCACGAAGGCCAGGGGAGCAAACGGG